GACAGAGGGGGCAAGCGUUGCUCGGAAUUAUUGGGCGUAAAGAGCUCGUAGGCGGUGUGUCGCGUCGGCCGUGAAAACCUGCAGCUUAACUGUGGGCUUGCGGUCGAUACGGGCAUCACUGGAGUUCGGCAGGGGAGACUGGAAUUCCUGGUGUAGCGGUGAAAUGCGCAGAUAUCAGGAGGAACACCGGUGGCGAAGGCGGGUCUCUGGGCCGAUACUGACGCUGAGGAGCGAAAGCGUGGGGAGCGAACAGG
rnacentral:rRNA from 1 species